GCCCUCCGGGACCGGGAGCGGGAGGGACGGGGGGCGGGGUCCCGUGCUGGAGAGCCGAGGCUGCGAGGGGAGCGCCCGUGUGCUCGGGGAAGUGCUGCCCCUUGCAGGUACCCGGCGGAGAGGCGAGCUCAGAACCCUGGGGAAGGGGGUGCUCUGCUCACUGGGGCAAGUGGUGAGCUGGCUCUCGGCGGACAGGUCAGGUACUCAGUUGAGUCAGCUAUGGAGCUGGACAAGGCCCACCUGCCCUGGGGUACCACGGCCUUGCCCUGGGAGCUGACUGUGGCAGAGAGCCAGAUCCAAGGCUGGGGAUUAAAGGAAGAGGCCUCCCCCAGUCCCACCAAGGGAUAGGGUCAGUACUGGGGAGGCUGGCAGCC
rnacentral:lncRNA from 1 species